rnacentral:tRNA from 1 species
GUCAAAGUGUCGGAGUUGUGGCGCCCCCUGCGCACGACUCAUAAUCGUGAGGUCGAGAGUUCGAGUCUCUCUCCUGCUA